CAAUAUUUUUGGGCAUGACUGUAUAUUUUAUAUAUAAUUUAUGUCAUAAAGCUGUCAUAAAAAAUGUUGUAAAUGAUGAAAAAAUACUUCAGUUAUUUUAUUUUUUUCUGCUGAUUAAGUAUGUUUAUGAGCUGAUUAAUUCAGAAUAUUUUAGUUAAUUAAAAUUAAAAAUGAAUUAAAACUAAAUUAAUUAAAUAAAUCUCAACCCAUCCCAUAAGUGGUACCUCUAAAAGAUCAUUACAUGAAACGCCUGAAAGAACUCUUUAAGGUUCCAUACAGAACCUUUUCUUCUCACUCAAAAAUAAAGGUUCUUUUUGGCAUUAAUGCUUCCAUGAAGAAGCGUUUACAUCCACGGAAACUUUCACCAAAGUUUUGGAUUUUAAAAAUGUUCAUAAACUUUAAAAAUGUUUCUGUUCACUGAAAGAUUUAUCAUCACAAGAAGACAAAAUGCCAAUGAAGCAUAUCAUCAUUUCUGAUUUAUAUUUUUGUUAUACAUUAUUUGUUUGAUUUUUGGCAUUGCAAUGAAAACCUCCUUUUAGAACCUUUCUUUUUAAGAUUGUCAGAGUAUCAACAAUAUGAAUCUAACAAUACGAUGCUGUGCUCUAAGACAAAGUCCUUAUACCUUCAUAACAGAUGAAAGGUAGAGUUCUGCUGCAGUCUUCUUCCUUCCACAUGCCGAAGCUGAGCAGGACCACACAAGCAUCCUCGAUGUAGUGUUCAGGAUCUGGCUCGGGUUCAAAGACGCAGUUGCUGGUGGUGGUGCUCUCAGUUGUGGUGCCGUUUGUUGUGGCAAUAAAGGUGGUGCUAAAUGUUGUGACUUUAGGGGUGGUGCUAUAUGUUGUAAUCUUAGAGUUAACAGUCUGUGUUCUAUUGCACAUAGUCAUGGCACUUUGUAGAUCAUCACAUGUCAUAUUUAAGCAAAAAAGCAUUUCGGACAAUAUGGGGCAUGUAUCGUUUUCUUUGUUUCUUCGAAACGUUGAGGUUACUGAAGCAGAAGUGACUGUGGAGGUUUGUGUUGAGGUCGCUGGGGUAGAUGUUGGGGUAGGUGUUGGGGUAGAUGUUGGGGUAAAUGAUGGGGUAAAUGGGGUAGAUGUUGGGGUAAAUGGGGUUGAUGUUGGGGUAGAUGUUGGGGUAGAUGUUGGAGUUGAUGUUGGGGU
ensembl:lncRNA